rnacentral:misc_RNA from 1 species
CCCAUCUCAAUCCCUAUGUCCAAUCAGCCUUCUCUUCUUUCUUCGGCACAAGUGGGCCACCAUCAUCCGCCUCCUCAACUACCAGACUGAUUACACAAUUAAGAACCACUGGACUCUAAUGAAGGGAUCAUCCACACCAUGGAGUCAUCGAGCACUGGUGAUGGAUUCAACCUCACUAUUGGAUCUUAAUCUCCACCCAUCUGAUGCUGUGAGGUUUCCCUUUCAGCCUGUGAUGUGAGCGGC